CAGUGAUGGCCGUGUAGUGGACUGCCAUGGCGUUGACGGGAGCGGGGGAUUAGGGUUCGAUUCCGGAGAGGGAGCCUGAGAAAUAGCUACCACUUCUACGGAGGGCAGCAGGCGCGCAAAUUGCCCAAUGUCAAAAAAAAACGAUGAGGCAGCGAAAAGAAAUAGAGCCGACGGUGCCUAGUGCAUUGUCGUAUUCAAUGGGGGAUAUUUAAACCCAUCCAAAAUCGAGUAACAAUUGGAGGACAAGUCUGGUGCCAGCACCCGCGGUAAUUCCAGCUCCAAAAGCGUAUAUUAAUGCUGU
rnacentral:rRNA from 2 species